UACGUAGGUGACAAGCGUUGUCCGGAUUUACUGGGCGUAAAGGGCGCGUAGGCGGCCUUCUAAGUCGAACGUGAAAUCCCCGGGCUCAACCCGGGAACUGCGUCCGAUACUGGAAGGCUUGAAUCCGGGAGAGGGAUGUGGAAUUCCAGGUGUAGCGGUGAAAUGCGUAGAUAUCUGGAGGAACACCGGUGGCGAAGGCGACAUCCUGGACCGGUAUUGACGCUGAGGCGGCGAAAGCCAGGGGAGCAAACGGG
rnacentral:rRNA from 1 species